rnacentral:lncRNA from 1 species
GAAAAACUCUGCAUAAUUGAAGCCAAAGCUGAGAAAUUUCCCCUGCAAGGAAAAAUCAGUGUUACAAAUGUAUGAAAAUACACUUUAUGCUGGGCACGGUGGCACGUGCCUACGAUCUCGGCACUCAGAGGACUCUGAGGGCACAAGAAUCGCCAGGAGUUUGAGGCCAGCCUG